rnacentral:rRNA from 1 species
AGCUCCAAUAGCGUAUAUUAAAGUUGCUGCAGUUAAAAAGCUCGUAGUUGCAUUUCCGAGGCAAGGGAUUAGUCCGACCUUUGGUGGGUAUUUAAUCCUCUUGCCUCGUCCUUGAGUGGUGCUUCUUGGUAUUAAGUUAUCGAGGAGAUAGCCGCUCAUCGUUUACUGUGAGAAAAUUAGAGUGUUCAAAGCAGGCUUAUGCCGUUGAAUAUAUUAGCAUGGAAUAAUAAGAUAGGACCUCGGUACUAUUUUGUUGGUUUGAGAACCAAGGUAAUGAUGAAUAGGGACAGUUGGGAGUAUUCGUAUUCAGUUGUCAGAGGUGAAAUUCUUAGAUUUACUGAAGACGAACUACUGCGAAAGCAUUUACCAAGGAUGUUUUCA